AAGGAGCCCCAUCCAUCUAUCACACGUGUAGACAAAGGGGGACUCCACAACACAAAGCUGGAUGUGCCCUCUCAAAACUUUUUUUUUCUCCUCCACGACGCACGGCGACGCGCGCAGAGCAAGCCGCCCCCCCAGGUGGAUUCAAACUCCAGAUUAACCAGCAGAGCGCUUUCUGCCAUGGGAGGUGAAGGAAAUACAAAUAUGUGGAAAUCAAAUGGAAGAUGUAUGGAGUCACCUAUCAAGCAGCCUUUAAAACGAGGAGGAGGAGGAGGAUUAAGAGGCUGAGCUGUUUUCUUCUGGAGAAGGUGAAGAUUCAGGGAUUUAAACUCCAGCAGCAGCAGUGCCAGGCGGGAUGUGUUCUCGGCACACUUGGAAAUCGAAAAGUCAUGGAGACACUUUGAGGAUUAUAAAAAAAUGUGCCGUGUCUCCACAAGACACGUCGCGGGCCGGAGUCACUGGAACAGCAGGAUAUAUCAUGUCUGAUCCCCAUCGUCGGCCCUCAGCCGGGACGCACAGUGAGAUGCUGCUGGGCCUCAGUAGACAGUGAGAGCACGGAGCCAGCCCCCUCUUCAGUUCACCGCCAGUUCAUGCCGCUCCACACUGACAGAAAUGAUGCUGACAGAAAUGCAAAUUUUUGACAAUGACAGCGGCGGUGCCAGCCACCAAUGUUAACAUUACGCCUCAAAACUUCAGGGGUGACAGGACAGGGGAGGAGCGUGACUCACCACAUGUGAAACAAACAAAGAAAAAGCAACAAAACAAAGUGCAGCACGGAGACGCUGUGUGACGGUGCGGGAGUGCGGGAGCAGUGAGGUCUGGGAGAUCACGACCUUAAUUCUCUCUAAGACAGACAGUUUAAUUAACACUGGAGGAAUCCUCACCGGCUCCAGACCUCGGCGAUGGGAAUGUUCGGGGGAAUUGGAUUGCCAAGGUCCUCUCGGCCGUUUAGUAGACUGUGAAGCUGACAGACGAUGCCCAUGAAUGAUGAAUGAUGACUGGAGGUCUGUCUGGUGCCAACAGAAUGCAUAAUACAGCAUGGAUACAGCGAUUCCAGCUCUUCCCAGCAGAAACAUGGCACGGUUACCGCAUCACCGGCAGAUCUACCACUCAGCCGAAAAGUGCUUCUGUUUGACACGGCAUUCAGGUGUGCCAGAGGGAAUGACCGGGUCCCGUCUAGACAGGACUGUUGGGAUGUGGAAAGUGAUCUAUAUGGAAAUUCUGAAGAAAGCUGAAGAGGACAACGGCCUGGUGAAAAAAAGAAAAGGGAAGUUAGGACAUUUGCCUCUUGCUGCGUAUGUGGAAGUGGUAUAUAAUGUAUAUGUGUCACUUAAAGAAUCGGAUGGUUGUCAUCUCCAUUGUCACCUCCUUCCUCCGCAGCUUCAGUGUUUUAUUUUCAGCGUACAGCAACAUCUGGUGGCUUUGGAGGAGGAGUGAUACGUUUUAAAUGUGCAACAACCAGUGGUUCUCAAGUGUUACUUUUCACAGGAUGUCGCUGACUGUCAAGAAGUUACACAAUCCUUAUGCAGGGAUGUAAAUAAAAUCAGCUAUUGACGCAAAGUUUGAUCAUGUUUUUCAAAGCAAUUAUGUAAUUCGGUGUUAAUGACGUUUUUUAUGAAUUAAAUAUUCAGGAUUGUCUUAAUAGUGUUUCCUAGAUUGUCCUGUCUCCUGUUUAUUCACAGUCUAUAUUUGAUUCUGCAUUAUAAUAAAUGCUCUUCUUUACAGGACA